rnacentral:miRNA from 1 species
AUGGCCAUAAGCCACUUGGGGAUGUUAUUAAAAAGUACAGAUUCUGAUCCAUUAAGGCUAGUGAGACUCUGCAUUUCUUAUAAGUUCCCAGGUGAUGCUAUU